rnacentral:rRNA from 1 species
GACGAACGCUGGCGGCGUGCUUAACACAUGCAAGUCGAACGGAAAGGCCCUGCGCUUGUGGGUUGCUCGAUUGGCGAACGCGUGAGAAACACGUGAGUAACCUCCCCUUGACUUUCUGAUAACAUCAGGAGACUGCGGCGCAUACCGCAGAGGAGCUCCUGCUGCGUGUUGUGGAUUGGAAAGUUUCGGCGGUUGGGGAUGGACUCGCGGCUUAUGCGCUUGUUUGUGGGGUAGUGGCUUACCAAGGCUUUGACGGCUAGCCGGCCUGAGAGGGUGAACGGCCACAUUGGGACUGAGAGACGGCGCAGACGCCUACGGGAGGCAGCAGGGGGGAAUAUGGCACAAUGGGCGGAAGCGUGAUGCAGCAACGCCGCGUGCGGGAUGACGGCCUUCGGGUUGUAAACCGCUUUCGACUGUGACGAAGAGUGAGUGACGGUAAUGGGUAAAGAAGCACCGGCUAACUACGUG